AACGAACGCUGGCGGCGCGCCUAAUACAUGCAAGUCGAGCGAGAAGACGUAGCAAUACGUUUGUAAAGCGGCGAACGGGUGAGGAAUACAUGGGUAACCUACCCUCGAGUGGGGAAGUAACUAGCCGAAAGGUUAGCUAAUACCGCGUACGCUCCUUGGACUUCGGUUCAGGGAGGAAAGGCGAUACCGUGGGGUAUCGCGCUCUUGGAUGGGCUCAUGUCCUAUCAGCUUGUUGGUGAGGUAACGGCUCACCAAGGCUUCGACGGGUAGCUGGUCUGAGAGGACGAUCAGCCACACUGGCACUGCGACACGGGCCAGACUCCUACGGAGGCAGCAGUAAGGAAUAUUGCGCAAUGGGCGAAAGCCUGACGCAGCGACGCCGCCGUGGGGGAUGAA
rnacentral:rRNA from 1 species